ensembl:lncRNA LINC00964 long intergenic non-protein coding RNA 964
GCCCAAGGUUGCCCUGCUGAUGUCAUGCCUGACCAUAUGACUUGCUCCAGCCAAUGAAAUGUAAGCAGAAGUGACAUAUGCAGCAUGACCAGUGGAAGCUUCGAAGAGCUAUUGCCAAUUUCCACCCUCUCUCUGGAAACUGUCAUUAGGGUUAGGGAAACUGUCAUGAGAUCUGCAUAUUUUAGAUAGAGGCUGCUUGCCUUAUUUGGGCACCUAAUGAAAAAGACAUGGAGGCCAGGUGCGGUGGCUCAUGUCUGUAAUCCCAGCACUUUGGGAGGCCAAGGCGAGUGGAUCACCUGAGGUCAGGAGUUCGAGACCAGCCUGACCAACAUGGCAAAACCCCGUCUGUACUAAAAGUGCAAACACAAAGGGAACUGCGUGGCUUGUUUCUACCUGAACAUUGUCAAGUGAUUUCAUCCUUUGAAACACAGUUGUGAAGUGUGUCCAGCAGUCUGAGAACAAGAAGAAGAAGAAAAUCUAAUCCUUCAGGGUGUCUGUGUGCCAGCCCUGCUCUCAGCACUUCCCAUGUGGAACUCCUUUACUUCUCCUAACAACUCCAUGACAUGGGUUAGACUGUGAUUGUUCCCAUAUUGUUGGUAGGGAAACUGAGGCAUGCAGGUGUUACAGAGCUCUCUCAAGUGGCAAGCUUUCUGGGUGGUUACAGAGUGGCAGAGCUGGGGUAUCCCAUGAUGUCACCACACUGCUAUAUGGAAAAGAACAUUAAUCGAGCACCUACGUGCUUGAUUCUCUUAAUUCUGUGACUGAACUCUCAAAACACCCUGGAGCACUGCGUGUUUUGAAAUAUACAAAUAGUGGGAAACGAAAUCUUUGUUCUGGAUGCAGUUAUAAUUUGGAAAGCGAGGAAAUAAAUUAUAACAAGGGGAAAAAACAGAAUACUACUAAAGUCAUGCCGUGUGACUUCUGAAGCUAGCUCCUAAGAAGUCCUUGCAGCUUCUGCCUGCGACUCUUAGAACACUUGCUUUGAAGGAUGCCAGAUGCUGUCUUAAAAGUCUGAGCACUCUGAAACCAUCAUGCUGUGAGGAAGCCCAAGCUAACCACAUGGGCAAAAAAGAUGCCCUCUGACUGCCACCAUUUGAGACACUCUAAUUAAGAACUGCCUCAUUGAGCCCAUGAGGCCCUGUGAAUGAUAAUAAUAAAUUGUUUUUAACCACUAUGUUUUUGGAUUUGUUAUAAGUUUAUAGAUAACAAGAAAAAGUUAUAUUAGCAUGGUAAUAAAAUUAUGGAUAUGUGUAAGUUUGGUGUUUUGUUUCUUUUUUUUUUUUACACUAAGCCUAUAUUACUGUUGUAAUUUAGGAAAUCACUUGUUUUCCUCCAGCACUUCAAUGUAAGAGUGGCACUACUUAGAAUGUACUUCUUAAGAUAUGGCUGUACAUAGAACAAAUUAUUCACCAUGAUUUCCUUAGCAUCCAACAGAAUACCUGAGUGUAGUAGAUGCUUAGUAAAUAGUUGUUGAAUAAUUGACAUAUGGGAGAGUGCUGGAUAAACUCUUUGAGAAUGACAUUAUCUACUUCGAUUUAUGUGAGUCUGGCAUCAUAUUUUUUUUGCUGUCUUUAAAGAAACCAAGAAGAAAGGC